UACCAGACGUUCCAUAAAUGAAUUGCAUUUUGGUUGAUGGCCUUCACUGGCAUGUGGUAUGGACCACUAUAUUGUUGACUCGAUAGAGAAAUUAUAUUAUGUCCUUUUCUAUGUUAGGAAUAUUAUAUAAGGCAUGUUGACGGGUCCCCCGUUAGUUCUGAGGCGGAGAGACAACGUGUAAUCCAUUGCUUGGAGGCAGCAAUCAAGAGACGAACAUCUGAGGGAAUAAGGCUAGAACUAUGUGGUGAAGACAGGGCGGGUCUUCUGUCAGAUGUAACUCGCUUAUUUAGAGAGAAUGGUCUUUCAGUUACUAAAGCCAAGGUCACAACCCGGGGUUCUCAGGCUGUAAAUGUUUUCUAUGUUGCUGAUGCAUCUGGUUGCCCAGUUAAAAGUGAAACAAUUGAAGCAGUUCGUAAUGAAAUAGGCCUAACUAUACUCCGUGUGAAGGAUGAUACGUACACAAUUGCACAAACUCCACAGACCGGAAAACCGUCUUUUGGUGAUAUCUUCCGCUCAAGGUCAGAGAAAUUCCUCUACAAUUUAGGCCUAAUAAAGUCAUGUUCUUGAGCAUUUUAUUAGUCGGUUGCACAACUCAAUCUGUAGAUAAUAGUAUGGUUUUAAUCAUAAACUUAAAAUAUUUUCGAGAUUUAGUCAAGCCCAAUUGAUCUUAAAAACUCGGUUAAUGCCAAAACCUAUAUAUCUUUCUACCUUGUAAAUGUUUGUCCAAACUGUAUGUUGACUAUGCUACAUCCUUCGCGUUUAGGAGUUGUUGUAAAUUUAUAAAUCAUUGCCCUUGCAUUGUGAUAUCUCUUUGUUCAA